AGAAUCAACGCUGGCGGCGUGCCUAACACAUGCAAGUCGAACGAGAAAGUGGAGCAAUCCAUGAGUAAAGUGGCGCACGGGUGAGUAACACGUGACUAACCUACCUUUUAGUGGGGGAUAACCUAGGGAAACCUGGGCUAAUACCGCAUAACACUUACGAGUCAAAGCAGCAAUGCGCUGAAAGAGGGGGCCGCGGCCGAUUAGCUAGUUGGCGGGGUAAUGGCCCACCAAGGCAGUGAUCGGUA
rnacentral:rRNA from 1 species